UCUACGGGUGGCAGCAGUGAGGAAUAUUGGUCAAUGGCCGGAAGGCUGAACCAGCCAUGCCGCGUGAAGGUCAGUGCCCUAUGGGCGUUACACUUCUUUUGUGCGGGAGCAAUAAUGGUCACGUGUGGCCAGACGAGAGUACCGUACGAAUAAGCAUCGGCUAACUCCGUGCCAGCAGCCGCGGUAAUACGGGGGAUGCAAGCGUUAUCCGGAUUUAUUGGGUUUAAAGGGUGCGUAGGCUGUGAGGUAAGUCAGCGGUAAAAUGUCCGGGCACAACCCGGGCCGGCCGUUGAAACUGGGGAUCUUGAGUGGGCGAGAAGUAUGCGGAAUGCGUGGGGUAGCGGUGAAAUGCAUAGAUAUCACGCAGAACUCCGAUGGCGAAGGCAGCAUACCGGCGCCCGACUGACGCUGAGGCACGAAAGCGUGGGGAUCGAACAGGAUUAGAUACCCUUGUAGUC
rnacentral:rRNA from 1 species